CGUUUCGUUUUCUUAAAAUUUUAACGACUUGUAUUGAAAUGUGCCAAUGAAUCGAGUUGUUUUGCCUAAACGUACGCAUCGCGGACCGAUAACCUCGCAGGCGACUGCUUGAACAGCGGUUUCCCCCCAUUUACCAAUAAAUCCUUGCGAGCUUUAUGACAAUAUUUUUUUCCAAAACUCGUUUAGGAACAUCUUGGAAAAGCGGCGAAAAUGAGUGAGUUUGGAGGACGUCCACCUUCCGCCAGAGGCACCAGACCUCCAUCUGCUACAGGAAUGAGACCAGCGAGUGGAGCACGAGGAAGAAUGCCUCCUAGCUCCAUGGGAAGGCCUCCAGGUAAUAAAAUAAAAUAUAAAAUGUGCUGUAUAUGGAUAGGUUGUCAUUCAUUCAUUCAGGCAGCCAAUCAGUCAGUGACUUGUCCAUCAACUUUUUUACUCAUUUAUUCACGCAUUCGGUUGGUCAGUCAGUCAGCAAGUCACUCAGCCAUCUGUAAAUCUUUUAACCAGUCAGUCAGCCAGUCAGUCGUCAUCAGUCAGUCAGUCAGUUGGUCGGUCGGUCGGUCAGUCGGUCGGUCAGUUGGUGAGUGGAGUCAUUUAACCAGUUGGUUGGUCAGUUGUGACCUUUGGUACAUGUACUAUGUAUAAUUCAAUUUAUCAAUAAUUAUUGAAUGAAGACAUUCAGUACUAACAUAACAUUAUAAAUUUAUCCUACACUACACUGCACAUUGCGUGGUAUAACAUUACAUUACUUUACAUCACAUUCUUUCAGUCAGUCAAUCUGUAAUCUAUUUUUCCCAUUCACUCAGAUACACUUGUAGACAGACAGUUUUAAUGUUUUUUAAGAAUAUCGUCACAUAAAUUUAUAUUUUGUUUUCAUAAGACAUACUUCAUCAAGCAGAAAGG